rnacentral:rRNA from 1 species
CACGUAGGGGGCAAGCGUUGUUCGGAAUUACUGGGCGUAAAGGGCUCGUAGGCGGCCAACUAAGUCAGACGUGAAAUCCCUCGGCUUAACCGGGGAACUGCGUCUGAUACUGGUUGGCUUGAAUCCGGGAGAGGGAUGUGGAAUUCCAGGUGUAGCGGUGAAAUGCGUAGAGAUCAUGAGGAAGACCAGUGGCGAAGGCGGGUCUCUGGACAGUUCCUGACACUGAGGCACGAAGGCCAGGGGAGCAAACGGG